UGGGGAAUAUUGCACAAUGGGCGCAAGCCUGAUGCAGCCAUGCCGCGUGUGUGAAGAAGGCCUUCGGGUUGUAACGCACUUUCAGCGGGGAGGAAGGCGUUAAGGUUAAUAACCUUGGCGAUUGACGUUACCCGCAGCAGAAGCACCGGCUAACUCCGUGCCAGCAGCCGCGGUAAUACGGAGGGUGCAAGCGUUAAUCGGAAUUACUGGGCGUAAAGCGCACGCAGGCGGUCUGUCAAGUCGGAUGUGAAAUCCCCGGGCUCAACCUGGGAACUGCAUGCGGAACUAGCAGGCUAGAGUGUUGUAGAGGGGGGUAGAAUUCCAGGUAUAGCUGUGAAAUGCGUAGAGAUCUGGAGGGAUACCGGUGGCGAAGGCGGCCCCCUGGACAAAGACUGACGCUCAGGUGCGAAAGAGUGGGGAGCAAACAGG
rnacentral:rRNA from 1 species